ACUCGGCUAAUGAGUCUUAAAUAGGACGAAACACGCGUCCUGAAU
rfam:Schistosoma margrebowiei strain Zambia genome assembly, scaffold: SMRZ_scaffold0000726